GAGACCAAUCAUAGCUUUCUCAUUUACUAUGUUAAUUGCAGUGAAAUCUUAGUUUCUCAUUGCUACAUUAUUAUAUUUUUACAAGAGUGAUGCAUUUUAUACAAUCAAUAAAGCUAGCAAAAAUGCAAAAUUUUGGGGGCCAAAGCGGCAAAAAUAAACAGUUUUUUUUUACAAAGAAUCAAAGGAAAUAACAUACACUAGGGUGUACAUUUUAGAGUAUAUUUUAUAUACACUCCGAGCUUCUAGUGGCCUGGUAGCUUCGUCACUGGGCUGCUACAAGCUUUAGGGCACUGUUUCCCCACCAACUUCGGAGAUACGUUGGAGCACUGGAACGUUGCUGGACCGUCUUUUCCAUUAUAUGUAAUAUCAAUGUCGCCGAUCUCCACGUUCUUACACGGAAAUCCCUUGCUGCACAAUAGCUUCACUGCGUCUUUGUUCCCUGAUGAUCCUUUGAUAUUCUUGAACUUUAUGUCCACCAGCUUGAUGGAUGAUGGUUUCUACAAACAAAUAAAACAAUUGAAAAUGAUAAUCAAUGGACUAUGAUCGUUAAGAUUUUCUUGAAAAGUACUUUUCUGUACGUACAUUCUUGUUGCAUCGGUUCCAGGGGCAGUACUCUUGGUCGAUGAGGAUAGGGUUGCUAACAUUGUGGAGAAUAAUAUUCUCGAAAUGGAUACCAGAGGCGGUCGUGGAGCAAGCUGCAGAGGGCCAUGUCUUGAUUCUCACACCAUUGUCAGUAUUUCUGAGGGUGCAGUUCACGACCUUGACGCCAGUGACGUCUUCCUCGUGCCCGUAUAAUCCGAGGCUUCCAAUACUGAUUCCGUGUCCCGGACCGCAUGAAACUCUUUCGACAAGAAGGUUUUUCAUCCCGUCCCCAACAGAGAUACAGUCAUCUCCUGUUUUGAUGUUGGUGUUGAUGAUCUUGAUUCCGUCACUCCUUCCCACGUGGAUUCCAUCGGUGUUGGGACUCUCUUCAGGGGCUACGAUCCUGAUGUCUUCGAAUGUCAGGUUCUUUGCCCCGAUCACGUUAAUGUGGAAGUUCUUUGCAUCUAACGAGGUUAUGUCUCUUACCUUACCGUCAGUUAUGUAAUCAAACCGUAUGCUCUGUUCAACAAUGACAAAACAUCAACAAACUAACAAUGCUAUUUGCUAUUUAGCUGAGUUAUUAUAGAUAAAAGAUAGACAACAUACGAUAGGGAGUCUCUUGCACUGAGUUAAUGACGUCUUGUGGCAGUUAUUAGCCCUCCAUGAAGCGUUACCUUCACCGUCAAAGAUACCACCUCCGUUCAAUCUAAAGUUAGUAAUCCUGCGGAAAGCGACCCAAAAGUCCUUCCCGUUAACGUUCCCAUCAGCUCUCACAGUGCCUUGAAGAACAAAUAUUAUAGGAGCUUUGCAUGGACCCAUCAUCUCUAUUUCCCCAAGCUUGAAUUCACCUUUUGGGAUCAAAACGGUGCUCUUGUCCACGCACUGACAUGCCUCCUUGAAUAGUUUCGACAAUUCCUGCAUCCCAAAGAUCUUUAGUUUGCUUGAAGAACAAGAAAGCUAAUUGGUUAAUGGGAAGAUGAAUAAGGUAUUAGAAACUUACGCCGGUGAUAUCAGAACCUGGACGAGCAGUGAUUCUGAAUUCUCUAGCAUUUGCUGAUAAAGCUAACAAACAAAAAACAAAGAAUGCUGAUACUCCAAAAUGUACACCCAUUGUUGUGAUUUAUUCUAGUCACUAGUGAUUACAGUUUUUUUUUAUGUUUUAUUUCUUUUUGUAAACCACUAGGUUUUGUUUUUUUAGUAUUUGAAAAUUUAGUUUUCGUAUUUAUGUUUUGUUCCUUGAUUUGUCUGCCAUUAUAUAGUCUAUAUAAGAGGAGAGAGUUUUUAAAGUUGGGUUUCUUAUCCACCGUUCCUUUCACCUCUUCUUACCGAUAUUUUUGGAAACUUUUUAGUCGGAGUUUUUUUUUUUGGUAAGCUGCAGGAGACAUUAGUCCCCUACUUUUUAUUUAAAAAUAUAAAAUUACAUGCAAAACUGCCGAGGUCUCGAUACCCCAUUAAUAUCCUCUAAAGAAAUAGCACCAACGCUAUCAGGAACAAACUCGAAAACAUGCAAACCAAAUGAUAAAGAAAGAGCAUAAGUAGCUAAUCCAUCGGCUAGAUGAUUAGCUUCCCUAUACACAUGCGAAAUCUUGACUAUCCAGUCUCUUGUUAUGAAGCCGUAGCACAGACGUACUAGGAAUGACAGGGGAUGAGAAUCAUUAAUCCCUGUCCGAAGAAAAUCCACCACACUCUCUGAAUCCACUUCCAGCUCUACCCGACUUUUUAGUCGGAGUUUGACAUAGACAAACACUAAUAAUACCAUUGCUUAAAAAUAAAGCUUAUAUUACCUUAAUGCACAUCAAUUGGAGACAAAAAAAAAAAUUUCAAAUAUCUAUAAAUUUAAAUUCAUUUAUUAAUUCAGGAAAAUAUACAUGUAUGCCCAAAAAUAUUUCCCCAAUUCUAUCGUUCGGCAUGUUUCUCGUUUAUGCUGCAUGUUAUGCACAUGGUGCACCCAGUCUUCAUUCAGCAGGAUUCAUGUCGAUACAGUUUUAUCUUUGUAGAUAUCUUAACCUUUUAAUUAAUUGUUUUAGUUUCGUUAGUUAAAAAAAAAACAACUAAAAAAUUCUUCUUGAAUGCCAAAGACACAUAAAUUAAUAAGUUUGGGUAUGAAGGAAGUAAUGGUGAAUUUAGUUUUGGCUAGGGAACAUGAGGAUAUGCAAGAAUAGCACUAUCUUUCUCUACCACUGUGAGAACAAACACUGGCUAUGAUGUAUGUCUUGUAGAAUUUUAUGAGAAUGCAUGGUGUGGUUUACAGUGAUCCGACUUCGAGCUGUUAUAUAUGAUGUACGGAAGUGCUUAAGAAAAUUGAUUUGGCUACCUACAUCACUAAAGUGCGCUUAUCUUUUCUGGUACACAUCCGUUUAGAACUUCGGAGUUAAUCGUAUUUGAACUGGAGUAAUGGAAUGAUAAGUGACCUAUCGAGAAGUGAUUCACGAUAGCGUGCGAGUGAGGCCAAAAAACAGGAAAAUGUCAUGUGGUGAUUGCAUGGAUCAGUAAACAAUAAUUUUGAGCCUUCGAAAAACUAACGCACCGCUCGUUAAAUGGGAUAGGACCCACGGGUCGAGUGAGCGGGCGUGAGUGACCCAUUAGCCGUGGGCGGUCGGAGCGUAACAAGUGGUGUCAGAACUGGUUAGACAUCUCGAUUCUGACCCGAGAGGCGUCUUGAGACAUGUCGUAGGACGCAACGAGGACGUUGCGUUCUUUGAGAAGGGUGAAUUGUAACAUUCCGAGUUAUGAUAUAUGGAAGAGCUUAAGAGAAUUAAUUUGGCUACAUAUGUCACCAAUGUACGCUUAACUUUUACGACACACAUAUGUUUAGAACUCUAGAGUUAAGCGUACUUGAACUGCAGUAGUAGAAUGAUAGGUGACCUAUCGGAAAGUGAUUCAUGAUAGCGUGCGAGGGAGGCCAAAGAACGGAGAAAAUUCAUGUGGUGAUUGCAGGAUCAGUAAACAAUAAUUUCGACCUUUCAAAAAAUUAACGCACCGUUCGUCAGAUGGGAUGAGGCCCACAGGCCGAAUGAGCGGGCUUGGAUGGCCCAUUAGUUGUGGACGGUCGGAGCGUCACGAAUGAAUUACACAGAGACAAGUCGAGUUUAUGAAUAAUUUUGCACAAAUAUUUUUGAAAAAAAUAUCAUAUAAACUAUUCUGAUGUGGUUUUAUUUACAAAUUUAAUAUAUUGACGAUGCAUGAAUUGCUAUUUAGAACAUCUUUAUUCAUAGUACUAUGGAAAAAUUCUCAACAAAAUAAUACUGAAAAUAUAGUUGAUAUAUUCAUGGGGUUCCCAAAAUCUUGAGAUAUGCAUGCAAUUGCCUCAAUGAGUAUCUCAUUUUUGAAAACCACACAUAUACAUGUUAAUUAGAACUGAAGUCAAGACCUUGAACCCACCUAGUCCUAUAAAUUACUUGUUUAGAUUUAGUUUUAUAUGAUCCCAAAAUGAUUUUUUCUAACUAAGCUUAUUUGGACUUUAGAUUUUUGGUCUGAAAUCCAUUUGGAUUAAGACUAGCCCGAAAAAACUAAAUCUUUAUAUGUUUUAAUUUAUAUGUGAUUAUUUAAAUCUUGUCAAAUUUGAUUUGUCUAUAAUUUGAUUUUAAAGUUUAUGAAAAACACUUUUGUUAAAGAGGAAAAUUUUAAACAGAUUUUAUAUUCUAAGACAAAAAGUUGAAACCGAUUUUUAUGAAAAUUUAGAUGUUUUAAAACGGUAAAAUGAUAGAUAUAACAAUAUAAUUAAUAAUUUCGAAAACCCUUAUAGCUCUUUUAGAACUGUGUGAUCUUUUUUUUUGCGGGCCGAACCAGGCUAAGUUUAAAUAAUAAUAAAUUUUAUAAGUUUUGGGUCGGGCUGCAGCGCGCUAGCCCAAUUGACACCCACAACAUAUAAAGAUACUAUGUUUUUCAUAUAUUGUUUUGUUGAGAACUUUUCCUCCGUACUAGAGAUGGAAAUGUUCUUAGUACAUGGUUUUGACUUAGAGCAUCCACAGCGUUAAAAGACUAUAUUGAGUUCUUUAAAAUUGAAAAGUAAAACAAACAUGUGGAGGGAAAGUUUCUUUAAGAACAAGAAGAGUACGGUCGCAGAGAAACUUCUCUGAUUUUCUUUCUUACUUUACCUAUUUGUUUAAAUUUUUUAAUCUCUUGAAACUGAUUGAGAUACUAGCACUGUGGAUGCCUUUAGAACACCUCUAAUGGUGAGUAUUAGAAUAGGUUAUAAGCAUUUAAGAAAAAAAAAACAAAAUAAAGAAAUUAGAAGAGAAAAGACCAAAAAUUCUUAUUUCAGAAUUUUUUAAAAAUUCUUAAUAUCUUUAAGAGACACAUGUUAUCAUGUGAUAGGAAAUUAAUGUUUUGUUUGGUUUAGAAAAAAAGAACAUGAAUGAAUAAUUAUAAUAGUAAUAUUUUGUUGUUUUUAGAAACAUGUAUGGUUUCUAUCCGUUGGAGUUGCUCUUAGAAUGCUAAUACUUGCAGGGUUUCUAUAAAAAAAAAUAUUGUAGCUAUUUAGUUUUUUUUAUACACGUUGAAACAUUGUCUAAAGGACAACUUUUUUUUUAAGAGUUAUUCUUGGGUUCACUCCCUAGGGUGAACCUAAAGGUUCACCAACCAAUAGAAAAUUAUCAUUUUAGAUCUACUAUCUUUUAAUUAAGGAAACCAAAUAACUUGGCAAAUUAUAUUAUUUUUUCAAAAUAAAAUUUAAAAAUAAAUAAAAAUAAUAUAUAAAAAAACAAAUUCAAAAAAAAAAAUGUUGUCAACAAAACACUAAACCCUAAACUCUAAUACUAAACCCUAAACUCAAAUCCUAAACCCUAAACCCUUGGGUAAACCCUAAAUCCUUGGGUAAACUUUAAACCCUUGGAAAAACACUAAACAUAUUGUCAACAAAACACUAAACCCUAAACUCUAAUCCCAAACCCUAAACCCUUAGGAAAACCUUAAACUCUUGAGUAAACCCUAAACCCUUAAGUAAACCCUAAACCCUUGGAAAAACACUAAACAUUUGGAUAAAUUCUAAAAUAUAAAUCUUAAACACUAAACUCUAAAUCUUAAAAACAAAUACUUUUUUAAAAUAAUAUUUUUUUAGAACUAUUGUUAUUUUUAUUUAUUUAAUCUUUUAUUUUUUAUUUUAAAAGCAUAAUAUAAUUUGGCAAGUUAUUUUGUUUCCUUAAUUAAAAUAUACUAGAUCUAAAAUGACAAUUUUCUAUUGGUUGGUGAACCCAAAGGUUCACCCUAGGGGGUGAACCCAAGAAUAAGUUUUUUUUUAAAUACCAAACCGGUUAGUAAUUAAGAACUUUUGUGAUGUUUCUCUUUUCUAAAUUAUUAGUUUUCAUUUAUUUUUAUCAAAAACUCUUUUUCACUUCCACGUCGAGGUGCUCUUAUCUAGACUGAGACAAGCUGAACAACUUCUCAUGGCGAAUCCUAUUUACAUUUCCGUGGGGCGAAACUGUUGGGUUUUCCUUAGGGGUGGGCAAAAAACCCAAACCGAAUCGAACCAAACCAACCCAACCGAAGUUAAACCGAACCAAACCAAACUAUGCUCUUUAUGUAAUCCAAUUGGUUUAUGUUUUACUCAACCCGAACGGUUUGGUUUGGUUUGAUUUUUAACCGAACCAAACCGAUAAUCCAAUAUAUAUAGUAAAAAUAUAUAUGAUAUAUAUAUGUAUUAACAUAUUGCAAAUUUUAGUUAAAGUUUCGUUUUUCAUUUUUUCAUAACUUCUAUAUCUUUAAAAAAAAAAAAAUAUGAUUCAAAUAAUACUAUUAUAUAUAAAAUCAUGUAGCAUAAGUUUUUAUAUUCUCACUCUAUCAUUUAUGAGUUGAUUAUUUUUUAAUAAAAGUAUGAAACUGAUGCCUUCAUAUUUUAUAAUCAACCCGAACUACACCGAACCAAACUAGACCAUAAUAAUGUAAACUGAACUAAAUCUAAACCAAACCGAACUGAACCGAACCGAAUUAAACCCAAACCGAACCCAAACCAAAGCUACUUUGGUUUUAAUUGGUUUGAAUUUUAUAAAACCCAAAUUACCCAAACCAAACCGAACCCAAACCGAACCCGAAACUAAACCGAAAUGCCCACCCCUAGUUUUCCGUCCUCCAUUAACCAAAUCCAACUAAUAAGUGGAUAAGGAUGAUGAAUAAAAUCUAAUAAAGAUUAGAGAGUGUUUAUAGAAUUAGCUUGUUACCUUCACUAGUAUAAGUAAGAUGUUUUAUUUCUUUUCUUUUUUUCUGAAACACAAAUAAGAUGUUUUAAUAGCAUUUGUAUUUUGUAAUCUAUCCAAGAACAAACACUAAGAAAGCAAAUCUAAGCGAGAAACAUUUUUUUGAGAGUGAUCACAAAAAGAGUUUUUUUUUACUAAAUUCUCUUUCCUAAGAGCACUCGCAAUGAGAAUCCUUAAAGAGAAGUCAUUAAGAAAAAAAUAAUUAAAUAAUCAGUAGACUCCACCAAAAGCUAAGGAUUUAAUCCUUAAAAUCCUUAAAUAAAAACUAUUUCUUAGUGAAUUUUUGCACUAUUUACGGGUCCCCAUGACAUGUGGUGACUCACGAUUGGUUGAUAUUAUUAUUUUUUUAAUCUAAAAAGAAAAGAAAAAAUAAUACUUAAAAAUCAAAAUACACUUUUUCUAAGUACUCUCUUUGGAUAACACCAUUGCGGAUGCUCUAAAUAGAAACGUCUUUCUAUAAUUUGAAGUUGUCUCCUCCCAUAUCAAACUUGUGAAAGACAUUCGGCUAGCUUUCCCAACAGAAACCUCUUCACCACCUUUCCCUAGCUAAAUGGAGUAUCCUGAUCCAUCGAGUUUUGGCUCACAUGGUAUGAUUGAUUAGAUGAUAUUGUCGAGGUCUAGGGACCAGGUUUUAACAGAAGUCGGUCAUGUUUUCUUAUUCGUAUGACUAGAAAAUCAAAUCACUGUUCAUUAGACCUUCAUGUUGUAUAACAUCUGCAAAAUAAAUCUUUUUAAUGACUAGGAAGUUUUGAACACGAAAACACGCAGAAUAAUUCUUUUUACAGCGCAGAUCUCUCCCAACAAAAAUAACUAUAUAAAUUCUAGUUGACAACAAAAAUCGUGUGCAAAUUUAAUAUGCAUGCAUACUCAGUUUUAUUAUUUCAGGUGUUUGAUUUCAAACAUCGAUCUGAUAAUGGGAUUUGGAUGUAACCAAAAGGAACAAAAGGCAAACUUAAAUCCGUACCAGAUCAUCAUAGAGCAUCCAUGCAUCUUCCCAUUUACUAUACUUACUAGGUGUUUUACCCGCGAUGCGGGCUUAAACAUUUUCAUAAAUUUUUGAAAAGUUAUUUGUAUACUAUUCUAGUUAUAUUGUGUUUUCCAAAAAAAAUUCUUGCGAUCAAUUUAGUAUCAUCUAUGUAUUGUCUACUCUCGAAUAUAUAAAUAUAUAUAUUUCUGAACAAUUAAAUAUUAAAAUAUUUUAGUGGUAUAAUUUAAACUUGGGUCUCUAGUCAAAAAACAAAACUUGUUUCCAAUUUAUGUAAAGAAUAUUAUUUUUUUGAAUGAGCAAAGAUUUAAGGAUGGUUAUUUUUUUAAGAACAUUAACUUGUUAUUUCUGAACAAUUAAAUCUUAAAAUAUUUUAGUGUUAUAAUUUAAACUUGGGUCUCUAGUCAAAAAAACAAAACUUGUUUCCAAUUUAUGUAAAGAAUAUUUUUUUUUUUUGUGAAUGAGCAAAUAUUUAAGGAUGGCUAUUAGCAAAUAAAUGUUUGAGAACUUUAAUUUUUUUUUUUGAGAUUCUACUGCUAUAGUAGUUUAAGGGUUUUUGAAAUAUUACUAAUUAAUUGUUAUUGAUUCGAAGAUUUUCAAAUUUCAUCAAAAUUCUUUAUUUAUUUAUGACAAUAGUUUUUCAUUCUAUUUUAACAAAAUUUAACUUUAUUAAAAUAUAAUUUCCCUUUUUUAUUCAUAAGAUACAACUUUAAAAAUAUUUUGACAAUUAAAAUAAUGGAUGUAAGAUUUAAAAUCCGCUAUGUAAUUUGUAUUUGAAUAUCACAACAACAAUUUACAUAGCGGUAGAGUUUAGGUCUUUCUAGCUUUAAGUUUUAAGAUUAUUUUUUAGUGUUUAGGGUUGGUAGAGUUUUAGCGUUAGAUGAGAUUUAUGGUUAGGUUUAUGUAGGGUUUUAGGAUUAGGUUUAGGCAGGGUUUAGGGUUAGCAGGGUUUAGGGUUAGGUACGGUUUUUAGGGUUAGGCAGGGUUUAGGGUUAGGAAGGGUUUAGGGUUAGGUAGGAUUUAGGGUUAAAAAGGGUUUAGGGUAGGUAGAGUUUAGGGUUAGUAGGGUUUUGGGUUAGGUAGGGUUUAGGGUUAGGUAGGGUUUAGGGUUAGGUAGGGUUUAGGGUUGGUACGGUUUAGGGUUAGGUAGGAUUUAGGGUUCGGUAGGGUUUAGGGUUAGGUAGGUUUUAGGGUUAAAAAAGGUUUAGGGUAGGUAGGGUUAGUAGGGUUUUGGGUUAGGUAGGGUUUAGGGUUAGGUAGGGUUUAGGGUUGGUAGGGUUUAGGGUUAGGUAGGGUUUAGGGUUCGGUUGGGUUUAGGGUUAGGUAGGUUUUAGGGUUACGUAGGGUUUAGGGUAAGGUAGGGUUUAGAAUUGGGUAGGGUUUAGGGUUAGUAGGGUUUAGGGUUAGGUAGGGUUUAGGGUUAGAAAGGGUCUAGGGUUAGAAUGGUUUUAGGGUUAGGUAGGGUUUAGGUUAGGUAGGGUUUAGGGUUAGUAGGGUUUAGGGUUAUGUAGGGUUAGGGUUAGGUAGGGUUUAGAAUUAGGUAGGGUUUAGGGUUAGCAUGGUUUAGGGUUAGAAGGGUUUAGGGUUAGUAGGGUUUAGGGUAUGUAGGAUUUAGUGCUAGAAAGGGUUUAGGGUUAGGUAGGGUUUAAGGUUAGAAGGGGUUUAGGAUUAGGUAGGGUAGAGGGUUAGAAAGGGUUUAGGGUAGGUAGGGUUUACGGUUAGGUAGGGUUUCGAAUUAGGUAGGAUUUAGGGUUAGGUAGGGUUUAGGGUUAGAAAGGGUUUAGGGUUAGUAGGGUUUAAGGUUAGUAGGGUUAGUAGGGUUUAAGGUUAGUAGGGUUUAGGGCUAGAAAGGUUUUAGGUUAGGUAGGGUUAGUAGGGUUUAGAGUUAUGUAGGGUUAGGGUUAGGUAGGGUUUAGGGUUAGUAGGGUUUAGGGUUAGGUAGGGUUUAGGAUAGGUAGGGUUUAGGGUUAGGUAGGGUUUAGGGUUAGGUUUUAGGUAGGGUUUUAGGGUUAGGAAGGGUUUUAGGGAUAGGAAGGGUUUAGGGUUAAAUAGGGUUUAGGGUUAGGUAGGGUUUACGUUUAGGGUUAGGUUGGUUUACAAUUUGAUAGGUUUAGGGUUUAGGUAGUAUGUAGGGUUUAGGGAUUAGGGUUUGGUUUAUGUAGGGUUUAGGGUUAGAUAGGGUUAAGGUCUAGGUUUAGGUAGGAUUUAGGGUCAUGUAGGAUUUAGGGUUUAGGUAGUAGGAAAGGUUAGCGUUUGGUUUAGGUUGGGUUUAAGGUUUGGUUUAGAAUAAUGCUUAGGAUUAUAGGGUUUAGGGUUUGUUUGUUUUUUUGUUUAUGCAUUUAGUGCUGAGUUUUUCGGAUAAAAUUUUAUAUUAAUAUUAUUGAUUCAUAAUUUUUCUUAAAAUAUUAAAAUUAUUAAAGUGAUUUUUAAUGUUUUUAAAACAAAAUAUGUAUUUUUUUAUUAAGUUUUUUGUGACAAUAAGUUGAAUAUAUUUUAGACCACAAAUCAUAAAUAUUCUCAGUCUUAUACAAUUUGUUCUUUAAGUUAUUGUUACUUUUAUUUCCUUUUAUACAUUUCUCUUAAUAUUUAUGUAUGCAUGCAUAAUAUUUCUUUAAAAGGAUUUUUCAUUAACUAAUGUAUUUAUUGUAGUUUUAAAUAUAUUAUAGUUUUCGUGCACUUGAUUAAAAUUUUUUGGCGUUGGUGGUAUUUGAAGUUGUUGAGAACUUGAAUGUAUAUUUACUUUCAUAAAGUUUUUGGUGUAUGUUUUAAAAUAAAAAAUUUUAAAGGCUUUUAAAUCAUAUGAAUAUAAUAUUCAACACACUACUGUUGACUAUUUAUAUAUUUAAAAUUCUGAAGUAGGCAAUUACAAAUUUGCUGAAUUUAUAGAUUCGUUGCUACUUUAUAAAUUGUCACACGAUGAGGUACAUAUGGUAAAGUUAAACUCAAAUCUGUGUUUUUUUUUUGUUUUAUCUACUAUGUAUUAAGAAAUAAUUAACACAUUCAAUAAUAUUAAAGAGUAAAAAGUCAUAUCAAUUGUUCAUAGUAUAAGCCUAAUGUUAAACUCAAAUCUAGCCAAAGAAAUAAAACCCAGAUACGCGUGUCGGUCUAUCAGAUAGUGACUUUCCACGUGGAUAGCUUAGGAGAGAGGCAAACAUAUUUUAUAUAUAUAUAUAUAUAUAUAUAUAUAUAGAUUCAUUACUAAAAUAGAUCUUAAGAUAACUCAAUAUUAUAUUUUUAAUUAUAUAAUUAAAAAAAUUAUUUGAUUAAUAUUUAAUUAUAUAAUUUACGUUUUUAAAGUUUUACUAAAAUACUUUUUUCAUAUAAUAAUACAAUAUAUAUAUAUAUAUAUAUAAAGGGGUUUUUGCCAAAACUAACCCACAACUUGAUUUUAAUCUCAAACCUAUACCCAAACUUGAAUCAAAUGCAAAACUAACCUAAAAGCCUAGUGAAAUUACAGCUCAACCCCUUGUGACCAAACAAAAAAACAGAAGCCAUUUUUACGAAUAUAGCCCCAGUAAAUCGUCUGAGUCGUCUGAGAUGUUGGAAGUCGUCUGGACGACUGAAGUGUAAGUCGUAUGAUACCAGUUUAUUUUAAAAAUAAUUUAUAAAUCUUGUAAAAAAAUAUUUUGAUGCGUAAAAAAUAAAAAUCAAGUAAUUAUAAACAGUUUUAACUGAUAUAAAUUAAGAUAUGAUAAAAUUGAUUUGUUUUGAAGAUAGAUGAGUGGAAGUAGUGAAUCAUGAAAUACUUUGGUUUAGGAGUUUGGCAAACAUAUGUUGUAGUAUUGUAUGUAUUGUUAGGGUUAGAUUUUGGAAAACUAAAAUAUUUUUUCAAAAAUUAGUUUUCACUUAUAUGUGUUUAUUUCUGUGUAUAGUAAACAUUUUUCAAGUUUGAUUUGGUUUUAUGAAGUGUUUAAUUAGAUAAUUAAGUUUAGGGGUUAUGUUUAGGGUGUGGACGACUUUUAUUUCAGUCGUCUGUUGAAUAAUUUACCCGGACGACGUAUAUUUCAGUCGUCGAGACGACUUACUUGUAAGUCGUCUGGAAAGUCUUCUAUUUUAGUUUCCCGCUAAAAAUAUUUAAUUUCCCGCUAAAAAUAUUAAACUCUUCUGGACGACUUACAUGUAAGUCGUCUGUUUUAAUUUCUUCACCAGACGACUGAAAUGUAAGUCGUCCAGGAAGUCGUCUGAGUCAAAAAUAUUUAAUCUAAUUGGAUUUUUUGUCUCCCUAUAUAAAGAAAAAUUUACACAUUCUCUCUCCUCCUCUCCAAUGGCUGCAACAAAAAUGUAAUGUUCAUCAUUCUAAAACUCUCCAACCUCUCUCUAAUCUCUUUGACUUGAAAACACCAAACUUUAUAUGAAUUUUUCAGUUUUGUCUCAUGUAUUUCUUAUUAAUCUAAUGGUCUUUUUCUCAUCAUAAUAAACAAGAAUGUUGGUAAGAGAUGGAAACAAACAAUAGUAACUAGUCAAAGCAUAUCAUAUUUUUUAUAAGUUUGCAUUGAAAAACUUAGUCAAAUUUAGUAAAACUAAGGGAGAGAACAUAUUUUGUAAAUAUGAGUUUUACAUAUCUUGAAGUUACUUAUCACUCUUAAAAAUACAAGUUAUUCAAAAACUAACGUAGAAGACUUAAAAACUAGUGGAGAAGACGCGGACGACUUCAAUCUAAGUUGUCUAGACGACUAAACUAUAUGUCGUCUGGUCAACGCAGAGGUUAUUUUUGCAAUUGACUUUGAAAUCUGUUAUUUUGGACGACUGAAAGUUAAGUCGUCUACUAUUGUUUGGUUAAAAAAAAAACUCCAAAAAAGCUAGACGACUUACAUUUCAGUAGUCAGAGGUUAGUUUUGCAUUUGACUGGAUUAUUUCAGAAGUUUGAAUUUUUGGACGACUUACAUUUCAGUCGUCUAGUGAAAAUUAAAAUAAUAAUAUUUUUUUAAAAGUAGACGACUUAAAGUUAAGUCGUCAUAGGUUAGUUUUGCAAUUGAAAAAAAAAUCUUCAAGAUUUAAUUAUAUACAGACGACUUAUAAUUCAGUCGUCCACGAGACGACUGAAAUGUAAGUCGUCCAGGAUUUACGAGGUUUGACCAGAAUCUCGGAAAAAAGUCCUGGACGACUUACAAUUAAGUCGUCUGGUGGACGACUGAAUUAUAAGUCGUCUGUGUAUAAUUAAAUCUUGAAGUUUUUUUUUCAAUUGCAAAACUAACCUAUGACGACUUAACUUUAAGUCGUCUACUUUUAAAAAAAUAUUAUUAUUUUAAUUUUCGCGAGACGACUGAAAUGUAAGUCGUCUGGGGAAGUCAAACUUCUGAAAUUAUCCAGUCAAAUGCAAAACUAACCUAUGACGACUGAAAUGUAAGUCGUCUAGGUUCUUUGGAAUUUUUUUUGAAACCAAACAAUAAUAGACGACUUAACUUUCAGUCGUCUCAGGUUACAGAUUUCAAAGUCAAUUGCAAAAAUAACAUCUGCGUUGACCAGACGAUUUCCAGGUAAGUCGUCUACAGCCAGACGACUGAAAGGUAAAUCGUCUACAGCCAGACGACUUCCCAAGUAAGUCGUCUGACGAACAGAUCUGGAAAAAAACUCGAUGUCAUACCUUAAAUUGGUGAGAUAAGUUCCUUAGCAUACAUAAGGCUUCUCCAAGCACACAGAGUCACAAACGAAAGUCACCCACCCAUAAUCGUUAGCUUCUAUGACUCUAUGAACCAUAAAAAUUUUAGAAUCAAAAUCUUGGGUUUUUUUUAGCUCAUUGUGGAGAGAAAGUGAGAGAUAUGUUGUGUUUAGUUCACAAGAAUGGAAAAAGAAGAAGGGUAAAUCGAUUUUGGGAGUAUUAAGAGCUUCAAAUUGGUUGUUCAUGGUGGUUGUGGUAUUCAUGACAAUGGCAAUCUUGUAAUUACUUGAAGAUGAUGAGGGUGAGAGAGUAAAAAUGUCAUUUUCAAAAAAAAAAAAAAAAAACUGAUGGCAUUUUCGUAAAUUAUAUGAACUUGUGGGGUGAAUAGGGCAAAACAAAUUUUCAAAAAAAAGGGAGGUUAGUUUUGUGUUUGACUUUAAGUUGUAGGUCAAUUUUGCAAAAAUCCCAUAUAUAAAUUAUCUUUUUUAAUUAUAAUUUUUAGAUUUUGGAUAAUUCAAUAUUCUAUUUUUAAUUAUAUAAUUAAUAUUUAGUUAUAGAAUUUAUGUUUUUAACUUUUUACUUAAGACUUUUUCAGAUAACAAUACAAUAUAUACAAAAGUUAUCUUUUUUAAAAAAAUUAUAUUUUCAGAUUUUGGAUAAUUCUUACUAUUCUUAAUAUUGAUCAAUUAUCUAAUCAAAAUCAAUUAAAAUUUUGUUCUUAUUUUUUAAUUUAUUUAUACAUUUUAUUCAUUAAGGGUUAAACGAUAUUAACCACUCUAGCUUUCAACGUGAGAACUCCAUUGCGAAAAUUUACUUCGCAAAUAAUAGUUUUAAAUUAUAUAAUUAAAAAAAUUGUUUGAUUGAUAUUUAAUUAUAUAAUUUAUGUUUUUAACGUUUUACUAAAAUAUUUUUUCAGAUAACAAUACAAUAUAUAUAUAGAAAUUAUCUUUUUAAAUUAUAUUUUUAGAUUUUGGAUAAUUCAACAUUUCUGUUUUUAAUUAUAUAAUUAAUAAUUUUAUUUAAUUAAUAUUUAGUUAUAGAAUUUAUGUUUUUAACUUUUUACUUAAAGACUUUUUCAGAUAACAAUACAAUAUAUACAUAAGUUAUCUCUUUUUAAAAUUAUAUUUUCAGAUUUUGAAUAAUUCUUACUAUUCUUCAUAAUAAUCAAUUAUCUAAUCAAAAUCAAUUAAAAUUUCGUUUUUAUUUUUUAAUUUAUUUAUACAUUUUAUUCAUUAAGGGUAUAAACGAUAUUAACCACUUUAACUUUCAACGUGAGAGCUUCAUUACAAAAAUUUACUUCGCAAAUAAUAGUAUAGAUUGCACUGAAAUCUUAGUUUCUCAUUGCUAUCUUAGAUUUUUUUGCAAAAACGACGCAUUUUAUACAAUCAAUAAUGCUAGCAAAAAUGCAAAAUUUUGGGGGCCAAAGCGGCAAAAAUAAACAGUUUUUUUUUUUUUACAAAGAAUCAAAGGAAAUAACAUACACUAGGGUGUACAUUUUAGAGUAAAUUUUAUAUACACUCCGAGCUUCUAGUGGCCUGGUAGCUUUGUCACUGGGCUGCUACAAGCUUUAGGGCACUGUUUCCCCA
rnacentral:lncRNA from 1 species